rnacentral:lncRNA from 1 species
CCCUGGCAAUGUUGUUGUUGGUCCUUGGAAAACGGAGAGUGAAUGUAGAGAACAAUGCUGGAUGAGCCAUGCACACAAUGAGACCAAGUUGAAAGAAUGCAACAAAAAAUGUUGUACCUUUCAAUGUCGCAGACGCUAUUCAUAUAGUAGAUCAAGGAUGCUUACAUGCUUUAGUGUAUGUUAUCUUGAACAUGCCUAAUACUUUAUUAAUUAAUGGUAAGCAAAUAUUUCUUAGUUUUCUAAAUUUAAAGUAUUUGAAGAUGUUUUUAUAUAUGUAAAGUUUUUUUUUUUUAAUAGUUGUUCACUCACCAGAUCUAAACCAAGGAGGGAAAUAAUAAUUACAACCAAAACAAGAAAGCAAAAUACAACAUUAUUUAAACAUAGAAACAUGACAUUGUUCAUCAUACUUAAGUUCUAAUGGAUAUCAUAGCAACAUGCACAGCAGCACCAUGAUCCUCAUAUUAAGCCUCCAACUCCUUUACUUAAACACUGACACCUCCUUUUAGUUAAGCAAUUUAGCUUCCUACAGCGAAAUCUUAGUAACCGACACCAUUCGAACUAAUUUGUCGCGGAUUUGAGCUCCACUUACCAACAGAUUGUUGCAUACACAAGACAAGAUUCGAAUCCCGACACUUGCUUAAGCAAACGAGUGAGUUGACCCAAAUUGGUGUAGUACCACUCCUUUAUCAGACUCCAAUUCAUCCUCCACUUCAUUAUAGAUAUGGCAAGGCCCGAAUCCAGGAGGGAAUGGACAAGUGCUACUAGAUAUUUGAUCACUUUCUUUACUUCUCUGUCUAAAAUUUUGGCCUACGCAAUUUCCAUUAAGUAUACCCAUAUCAAUUUUCUAUUUGGAUCAAUUCACAUAGUGGUCCAAAUUUAUUCACCAUAAACCAUUUCAGAUACCUUUGCCUCAUAACAUUCUCACUGUUUAUACUUCAGAUAUAGACAAAUUUAACAAUUACGAUCUCAUCUAUCGUCUUUAUACAUAUGAAAAUAUUUUUUUUACCGUAGUUAUACAUAUGAAAAUAUUUUGUUGUAGUUAUACUUUAAUUAUCUUUGACUUGAAUAGUAUAAUUAUGGUUUUGCUGAUUCGGUUGCUGAUGAUUCACAGAGUACUGCACAAUAAGAUCACAACCCAGGAAAACGAUGACAUGAGAUUAGAGAAGGAGAAGCAGAUGAUUUUGAAGAGAGUGAAGAGUCUAGUUUUAAUAACUUGGAUUAAUUAUGUGUAAAACUGACCAUUUUAUUAUUUUUUUCUGGGUCAAUAUUUAUUUUUUUCAUUAAAAGAAAACAUUAUUAACCCACAUUAUUAGUUAGGCAAAAGAAAUUAAUGGUGCACUGUGAGAGAUUAGUUCCAAGAGAAUCUAAGAACCACUCUUAUAUAGGGCAAUUUUAGUAACUACUUAAUUAAGGGAAGAUCAGAUGUAGUAACAUUUUUGUGACGAACUUCUAAUGUUCUUAUACGAACUUCUAAUAUUUAUUUAAACAUACGCAUGUUGAGUGGAC